CAAAGUGCUCAUAGUGCAGGUAGUUUUUUUCAAUUGAUUCUACUGUAAUGUGGGCACUUACAGU
rnacentral:pre_miRNA from 1 species